CCAAUAGCGUAUAUUAAAGUUGUUGCAGUUAAAAAGCUCGUAGUUGAAUUUCGGGGUUAGUAGAUUGGUCAUGCCUCUGGUAUGUACUGGUCUUACUGAUUCCUCCUUCCUGAUGAGCCGUAAUGCCAUUAAUUUGGUGUUGCGGGGAAUUUGGACUGUUACUUUGAAAAAAUUAGAGUGUUUAAAGCAAGCUAACGCUUGAAUACAUUAGCAUGGAAUAAUGAAAUAGGACGUUCGAUCCUAUUUUGUUGGUUUCUAGGAUUGACGUAAUGAUUAAUAGGGAUAGUUGGGGUCAUUAGUAUUCAAUUGUCAGAGGUGAAAUUCUUGGAUUUAUUGAAGACUAACUACUGCGAAAGCAUUUGCCAAGGAUGUUUUCAUUAAUCAAGAACGAAAGUUAGGGGAUCGAAGACGAUCAGAUACCGUCGUAGUCUUAACCAUAAACUAUGCCGACUAGGGAUCGGAUGAUGUUAAUUUUUUAAUGACUCAUUCGGCGCCUUACG
rnacentral:rRNA from 1 species